CCUACGGGAGGUUGCAGUGAGGAAUAUUGGUCAAUGGGCGUAAGCCUGAACCAGCCAAGUCGCGUGAGGGAUGAAGGUUCUAUGGAUCGUAAACCUCUUUUAUAAGGGAAUAAAGUGCGGGACGUGUCCCGCCUCGUAUGUACCUCAUGAAAAAGCCCCCGCUAACUCCGUGCCAGCAGCCGCGGUAAUACGGAGGAUCCGAGCGUUAUCCGGAUUUAUUGGGUUUAAAGGGUGCGUAGGCGGCCUUUUAAGUCAGGGGUGAAAGUCUGUGGCUUAACCAUAGAAUUGCCGUUGAAACUGGGAGGCUUGAGUAUGUGUGAGGCAGGCGGAAUGCGUGGUGUAGCGGUGAAAUGCUUAGAUAUCACGCAGAACCCCGAUUGCGAAGGCAGCCUGCCAGGCCAUGACUGACGCUGAUGCACGAAAGCGUGGGGAUCAAACAGGAUUAGAUACCCCGGUAGUC
rnacentral:rRNA from 1 species